CUCCUUUGACGUUAGCGGCGGACGGGUGAGUAACACGUGGGUAACCUACCUAUAAGACUGGGAUAACUUCGGGAAACCGGAGCUAAUACCGGAUAAUAUUUCGAACCGCAUGGUUCGAUAGUGAAAGGUGGUUUUGCUAUCACUUAUAGAUGGACCCGCGCCGUAUUAGCUAGUUGGUAAGGUAACGGCUUACCAAGGCGACGAUACGUAGCCGACCUGAGAGGGUGAUCGGCCACACUGGAACUGAGACACGGUCCAGACUCCUACGGGAGGCAGCAGGGCC
rnacentral:rRNA from 1 species